rnacentral:rRNA from 1 species
AGUCAAUAGAUACCCCGGUAGUCCACGCCGUAAACGAUGAAUACUAGGUGUGGGGGUUGUCAUGACCUCCGUGCCGCCGCUAAACGCAUUAAGUAUUCCGCCUGGGGAGUACGGUCGCAAGAUUAAAACUCAAAGGAAUUGACGGGGGCCCGCACAAGCAGCGGAGCAUGUGGUUUAAAUUCGAAGCAACGCGAAGAACCUUACCUAGACUUGACAUCUCCUGAAUUACUCUGUAAUGGAGGAAGCCCUUCGGGGCAGGAAGACAGGUGGUGCAUGGUUGUCGUCAGCUCGUGUCGUGAGAUGUUGGGUUAAGUCCCGCAACGAGCGCAACCCUUAUUGUUAGUUGCUACCAUUUAGUUGAGCACUCUAGCGAGACUGCCCGGGUUAACCGGGAGGAAGGUGGGGAUGACGUCAAAUCAUCAUGCCCCUUAUGUCUAGGGCUACACACGUGCUACAAUGGCUGGUACAGAGAGAUGCAAUACCGCGAGGUGGAGCCAAACUUCAAAACCAGUCUCAGUUCGGAUUGUAGGCUG